GACGAACGCUGGCGGCGUGCUUAACACAUGCAAGUCGAGCGGUAAGGCCCUUUCGGGGGUACACGAGCGGCGAACGGGUGAGUAACACGUGGGUGACCUGCCCUCAGCUCUGGGAUAAGCCCGGGAAACUGGGUCUAAUACCGGAUAUGACUCCACGGUGCAUGUCGUGGGGUGGAAAGCCUUGUGCGGCUGAGGAUGGGCCCGCGGCCUAUCAGCUUGUUGGUGGGGUGAUGGCCACCAAGGCGACGACGGUAGCCGGCCUGAGAGGGCGACCGGCCACACUGGGACUGAGACACGGCCCAGACUCCUACGGGAGGCAGCAGUGGGGAAUCUUGCGCAAUGGGCGAAAGCCUGACGCAGCGACGCCGCGUGAGGGAUGACGGCCU
rnacentral:rRNA from 1 species